rnacentral:rRNA from 1 species
CCCCUAGAUGUUCUGGGCCGCACGCGCCCUACACUGAACAGUUCAACAAGUCUUAACCUUGGCCGAUAGGUCUGGGUAAUCUUUGAACGCUGUUCGUGAUUGGGAUAGACCUUUGCAAUUAUGGGUCUUCAACGAGGAAUUCCUAGUAAACGCAAGUCAUCAGCUUGCAUUGAUUACGUCCCUGCCCUUUGUACACACCGCCCGUCGCACCUACCGAUUGAAUGGUCCGGUGAAAUCUCGGGACGGCGGCUUGGUCGCUUGCGUCCGACUGCUGAAACUUGAUUAAACCAUAUCAUUUAGAGGAAGGUGAAGUCGUAACA